rnacentral:rRNA from 1 species
UACGUAGGGGGCAAGCGUUGUCCGGAUUUAUUGGGCGUAAAGAGCGUGUAGGCGGUCAGGUAGGUCCGUUGUGAAAACUCGAGGCUCAACCUCGAGACGCCGAUGGAAACCAUCUGACUAGAGUCCGGAAGAGGAAAGUGGAAUUCCUGGUGUAGCGGUGAAAUGCGUAGAUAUCAGGAGGAACACCGGUGGUGUAAACGGCUUUCUGGACCAUAACUGACGCUGAGGCACGAAAGCGUGGGUAGCAAACAGG